AUUGAACGCUGGCGGCAUGCCUUACACAUGCAAGUCGAACGGCAGCACGGGAGCAAUCCUGGUGGCGAGUGGCGAACGGGUGAGUAAUACAUCGGAACGUACCUGGUAGUGGGGGAUAGCCCGGCGAAAGCCGGAUUAAUACCGCAUACGACCUGAGGGUGAAAGCGGGGGAUCGCAAGACCUCGCGCUAUUGGAGCGGCCGAUGGCAGAUUAGGUAGUUGGUGGGGUAAAGGCCUACCAAGCCUGCGAUCUGUAGCUGGUUUGAGAGGACGACCAGCCACACUGGGACUGAGACACGGCCCAGACUCCUACGGGAGGCAGCAGUGGGGAAUUUUGGACAAUGGGCGCAAGCCUGAUCCAGCCAUGCCGCGUGCGGGAAGAAGGCCUUCGGGUUGUAAACCGCUUUUGUCAGGGAAGAAAUACUCUGGGCUAAUACCCUGGGGUGAUGACGGUACCUGAAGAAUAAGCACCGGCUAACUACGUGCCAGCCGCCGCAGUAAGAC
rnacentral:rRNA from 1 species